rnacentral:rRNA from 1 species
UGGCUUUUUGAAUUAAUUAUAAAGUCUGACCUGCCCACUGAAUAUUUGAAGGGCCGCGGUAUUUUGACCGUGCAAAGGUAGCAUAAUCAUUAGUCUUUUAAUUGAAGGCUGGAAUGAAGGGUUGAAUGAAGUAUAAGCUGUCUCUUAUAACUUUACAUAAAAAUUAAUUUUACAGUUAAAAAGCUGUAAUUCUUUUAAAAGACGAGAAGACCCUAUAGAGUUUUAUAUAAUUAAGUGAAAUUUUUAGUAGAGUUAUAAAUUUACUAACAUUAUAUUUUAUUGGGGUGAUAAGGAAAUAAAUUAACUUUCUUAAUAAAACAUAAAUUUAUGGUUGUAGGAUCCAAUAAUAUUGAUUAAAAGAAUAAGUUACCUUAGGGAUAACAGCAUAAUCUUCUUUAAGAGUUCAAAUCGAUAAGAGGGGUUGUGACCUCGAUGUUGGACUAAGGGUAAAUAUAGGUGUAGAAGUUUAUAUUUAAGGUCUGUUCGACCAUUAAAACCUUACAUGAUCUGAGUUCAAACCGGAG